UUUACAUUCUGAGGCUGUCUGAUUCUGAAUGCUGGUUGGGGUGGUCCAAUUAGCUAUGAAGAGCCGUUAUUACUAGUAUUUAUUAGCUAGCUAAUAUUUAAUAUUCUAUACAUUUAAGCUAUGGCUGUUGACGGCUUCUGGUGCUAUAUUUUUGUCGUGUCGAUAUUGUCGGCCCCUUCAUUUUGGUCGUGUCUACUGGUUUCUGGUGAAAAGGUAGGCUUGAUGGAGGUUUUUCUGAGGGAUCGACAGGGCGUUAGCAGUGUUCUACAGGGCGAAGUAAUUGAGGGAAGUUGGGGUAGCAAAACACACGAUGGCCCUGGUAAUCGAGACCAUGAUCCCGUCGAAGGGAGUCUUCGAUUGGUACAGGAUGACGAACUUGACCUCAAGGUGAAACCCGAGGAUGAGGAGCCCUGGAUUGGAGUGGUUCCAGUUAAGAUGAAAGAGAGCGAGGUUUCCAGUAGCAACCAGGAGUCGUUCGCAGCUGCGGUUGUUAGCAAGAUGAAGCGGGCCCUGGUGCUGGGUGCCUCGGCCCUUAUUAUCCUGGCCCUGAAUCAGAACACAGUCAGAGAGAUGGAUCUCUCCCAGGUGCUCUCCAAACCAAUUAUCGUGUUUCAGUCGUCAGAAAAUGUCACCAAGCUCAUUGGAGUACUCCUCAGGGGCCUGCAUGCAACAGCAAAAAUCACAUACAAGACCAUCCUACAGGAUAAUCUGGGGGCCACCCUGACCCUGUGGUCCAGCUGUGGACGGUCGAGGGGGGGUCUCUACGGGGAGUGGCAGGGGGUCAUCUGCACUGGAGAGACUAACUCCCAGGUUCAGAAGUACCUCCAGCAGCUGUGGAACACAGUGCUCCUGGUGGCCCUCAUCCUUUGCACUGGGGUCAUAGUUCAAGCACGCUGGCAGUAUCGGGACCACCAGCUCAACGAUGACAUGGAGUUACUUCCAAAGCAGGACAUCCUGAAGCAGCUGGCUGCCCUGAAGACCAGGAAGUAUCACUCGCCCCAGACGUGCUGCGACCUGGGACAAGCAGGGGAGGCGGACUGUGCCGUCUGCCUGGAGCAGUUCUUCAAUAACCAGGUAGGCUCAGUAACCUUCUCCCAUACAGCCAACCCUCCCCACCACUCCUGCGCCUGGGAGGACCUCAGACUGCCACUCAGUGGGCCUCACGCAAGAACCACGUGUACGGACAGGUUUCUUCUUAAAAUCGCUCAAAUCUUUUGAAAUUAGGUGAUUUAAGAGAACUUAAGGUGCAUUCACCAAUUUACUUAAGUUGAAUCUUUUUGCUUUGUAGGAACAACAUUUGUAUGACAGGUCGAGUGGUCCUGACCGGUCAUACAAAGUCAUGCAAACACAAGAGCCUUGCAGAGUAGGAAGUGUCACUCACCCAAGGUCCCGGGCUGUGACCUGGGACAAGCAGGGGAGGCGGACAGCUCAGGCAGUAAGAGCAGUCGUCUGGCAGUCGGAGGGUUGCCGGUUCGAUCCCCCGCCUGGGCUGUGUCGAGGUGUCCCUGAGCAAGACACCUAACCCCCAAAAUGCUCCUGAUGAGCUGGUCGGGGCCUUGCAUGGCAGCCAGUCGCCGUCGGUGUGCGAGUGUGUGUAUGAAUGGGUGAAUGGAGAAGCAUCAGUUGUACAGCACUUUGGAUAAAGGCGCUAUAUAAAUGCCUGCCAUUUACCAUUUACAGCUGUGCAGUUUGCAUGGAGCAGUUACUGUUAAUCCCAUUGGCCGUCAGAACCCACCUUCAGUACCAUAUUCUGUAUUAUAACGACAUCUUCAUUUAGGACAGUUGUUAGGAAGUUAGGUGCACAAGGUGAUACAAAUAUAUGAGCCCUCCAUACGAAAAAAAAAAGUAAGAGAAAUGCAUGAUAAGAUUAUGAAAAUGCUCUUGCAUGAGGCCCAAUGCUGGUAAUCUCUUUUUGUAAAAUUUCAAGAGUCAUGUAUUAGUUUUCCAUUGCACUCUAACUUAGUCGGUGGGUGGAAUCAAACUUUUAAACAAAUAAAACAUAAAAAAUGGGCUUUACACGGUCGACGUUUUCUUAUUUAAUGAUCGUAUUAGCGGUUGUUAACCGGCAUUUUAAAGGCAGAAACGCUUUAAAGAUGCAGACGGAACCGUGACAUGUCUGAACUCUUGUGCGACUCGCCGUGAUUUGACUGAGCCCGCGAUGGCCGUUUGAGCGUGCCGGUCUGCGCGUGCGUCUGUCUCCCCGCAGUGUCUGCGGGUGCUGCCCUGCCUGCACGAGUUCCACAGAGACUGCGUGGACCCCUGGCUGCUCCUCCAGCAGACGUGCCCGCUAUGCAAGCGCAGCAUCCUGGCUAACUUCUGCAAAGACAGCUAAUGGCAGCUCCUGGAACCCUGACUUGAAGAAAACUGGGAUCAAGACUCAUACUCGUUCUCUUGUGAAGUUUUACAAUGGCGGUUCAGACCUCAGUUAUCUCUGUACUGUAGGGAGAGGGUCUGGGAAUGGUAACAGGUCCUCUUCAGGGUUGGCGAAUGUCCGGUGGGGGGG